UGAUUAAUAUUAUUAUUAUACCCAGGU
rnacentral:piRNA from 1 species